rnacentral:rRNA from 1 species
AACGAACGCUGGCGGCAGGCCUAACACAUGCAAGUCGAGCGCCCCGCAAGGGGAGCGGCGGACGGGUGAGUAACGCGUGGGAACGUACCCUUUGCUACGGGAUAGCCUCGGGAGACUGGGAGUAAUACCGUAUGUGCCCUUCGGGGGAAAGAUUUAUCGGCAAAGGAUCGGCCCGCGUUGGAUUAGGUAGUUGGUGGGGUAAUGGCCUACCAAGCCGACGAUCCAUAGCUGGUUUGAGAGGAUGAUCAGCCACACUGGGACUGAGACACGGCCCAGACUCCUACGGGAGGCAGCAGUGGGGAAUCUUAGACAAUGGGCGCAAGCCUGAUCUAGCCAUGCCGCGUGAGCGAUGAAGGCCUUAGGGUUGUAAAGCUCUUUCAGUGGGGAAGAUAAUGACUGUACCCACAGAAGAAGCCCCGGCUAACUCCGUG